rnacentral:rRNA from 1 species
GGUGAGUAACACGUGGGUAACCUGCCUGUAAGACUGGGAUAACUCCGGGAAACCGGAGCUAAUACCGGAUAGUUCCUUGAACCGCAUGGUUCAAGGAUGAAAGACGGUUUCGGCUGUCACUUACAGAUGGACCCGCGGCGCAUUAGCUAGUUGGUGGGGUAAUGGCUCACCAAGGCGACGAUGCGUAGCCGACCUGAGAGGGUGAUCGGCCACACUGGGACUGAGACACGGCCCAGACUCCUACGGGAGGCAGCAGUAGGGAAUCUUCCGCAAUGGACGAAAGUCUGACGGAGCAACGCCGCGUGAGUGAUGAAGGUUUUCGGAUCGUAAAGCUCUGUUGUUAGGGAAGAACAAGUGCGAGAGUAACUGCUCGCACCUUGACGGUACCUAACCAGAAAGCCACGGCUAACUACGUGCCAGCAGCCGCGGUAAUACGUAGGUGGCAAGCGUUGUCCGGAAUUAUUGGGCGUAAAGGGCUCGCAGGCGGUUUCUUAAGUCUGAUGUGAAAGCCCCCGGCUCAACCGGGGAGGGUCAUUGGAAACUGGGAAACUUGAGUGCAGAAGAGGAGAGUGGAAUUCCACGUGUAGCGGUGAAAUGCGUAGAGAUGUGGAGGAACACCAGUGGCGAAGGCGACUCUCUGGUCUGUAACUGACGCUGAGGAGCGAAAGCGUGGGGAGCGAACAGGAUUAGAUACCCUGGUAGUCCACGCCGUAAACGAUGAGUGCUAAGUGUUAGGGGGUUUCCGCCCCUUAGUGCUGCAGCUAACGCAUUAAGCACUCCGCCUGGGGAGUACGGUCGCAAGACUGAAACUCAAAGGAAUUGACGGGGGCCCGCACAAGCGGUGGAGCAUGUGGUUUAAUUCGAAGCAACGCGAAGAACCUUACCAGGUCUUGACAUCCUCUGACAACCCUAGAGAUAGGGCUUUCCCUUCGGGGACAGAGUGACAGGUGGUGCAUGGUUGUCGUCAGCUCGUGUCGUGAGAUGUUGGGUUAAGUCCCGCAACGAGCGCAACCCUUGAUCUUAGUUGCCAGCAUUCAGUUGGGCACUCUAAGGUGACUGCCGGUGACAAACCGGAGGAAGGUGGGGAUGACGUCAAAUCAUCAUGCCCCUUAUGACCUGGGCUACACACGUGCUACAAUGGACAGAACAAAGGGCUGCAAGACCGCAAGGUUUAGCCAAUCCCAUAAAUCUGUUCUCAGUUCGGAUCGCAGUCUGCAA